GCCAGACUCCUACGGGAGGCAGCAGUGGGGGAUAUUGCACAAUGGGGGGAACCCUGAUGCAGCGACGCCGCGUGGGUGAAGGAGCGUUUCGGCGCGUAAAGCCCUAUCGGCAGGGAAGAAGGAGGACGGUACCUGACUAAGAAGCCCCGGCUAACUACGUGCCAGCAGCCGCGGUAAUACGUAGGGGGCAAGCGUUAUCCGGAUUUACUGGGUGUAAAGGGGGCGCAGACGGCAGCGCAAGCCAGGAGUGAAAGCCCGGGGCCCAACCCCGGGACUGCUCUUGGAACUGCGCGGCUGGAGUGCAGGAGGGGCAGGCGGAAUUCCUGGUGUAGCGGUGAAAUGCGUAGAUAUCAGGAGGAACACCGGUGGCGAAGGCGGCCUGCUGGACUGCGACUGACGUUGAGGCCCGAAAGCGCGGGGAGCAAACAGGAUUAGAUACCCUUGUAC
rnacentral:rRNA from 1 species